UGGAUCCAGACUUUGAUCCUGGCUCAGGAUGAACGCUAGCUACAGGCUUAACACAUGCAAGUCGAGGGGAAACGACAUCGAAAGCUUGCUUUUGAUGGGCGUCGACCGGCGCACGGGUGAGUAACGCGUAUCCAACCUGCCCACCACUUGGGGAUAACCUUGCGAAAGUAAGACUAAUACCCAAUGAUAUCUCUAGAAGACAUCUGAAGGAGAUUAAAGAUUUAUCGGUGAUGGAUGGGGAUGCGUCUGAUUAGCUUGUUGGCGGGGUAACGGCCCACCAAGGCGACGAUCAGUAGGGGUUCUGAGAGGAAGGUCCCCCACAUUGGAACUGAGACACGGUCCAAACUCCUACGGGAGGCGGCAGUGAGGAAUAUUGGUCAAUGGGCGAGAGCCUGAACCAGCCAAGUAGCGUGCAGGAUGACAGCCCUAUGGGUUGUAAACUGCUUUUAUAAGGGAAUAAAGUGAGCCUCGUGAGGCUUUUUGCAUGUACCUUAUGAAUAAGGACCGGCUAAUUCCGUGCCAGCAGCCGCGGUAAUACGGAAGGUCCGGGCGUUAUCCGGAUUUAUUGGGUUUAAAGGGAGCGUAGGCCGGAGAUUAAGCGUGUUGUGAAAUGUAGAUGCUCAACGUCUGCACUGCAGCGCGAACUGGUUUCCUUGAGUACGCACAAAGUGGGCGGAAUUCGUGGUGUAGCGGUGAAAUGCUUAGAUAUCACGAAGAACUCCGAUUGCGAAGGCAGCUCACUGGAGCGCAACUGUCGCUGAAGCUCGAAAGUGCGGGUAUCGAACAGGAUUAGAUACCCUGGUAGUCCGCACGGUAAACGAUGGAUGCCCGCUGUUGGUCUGAAUAGGUCAGCGGCCAAGCGAAAGCAUUAAGCAUCCCACCUGGGGAGUACGCCGGCAACGGUGCAACUCAAAUGAAUUGACGGA
rnacentral:rRNA from 1 species